rnacentral:rRNA from 1 species
ACGGAGGGUGCAAACGUUGCUCGGAAUUAUUGGGCGUAAAGCGCACGUAGGCGGCGCUGUAAGUUGAAUGUGAAAACCCUGGGCUCAACCUGGGAAGUGCAUCCAAGACUGCAGUGCUUGAGUUCCGGAGGGGGUUGGAGAAUUCCCGGUGUAGAGGUGAAAUUCGUAGAUAUCGGGAGGAACAUCAGUGGCGAAGGCGCCAACCUGGACGGUUACUGACGCUGAGGUGCGAAAGCAUGGGGAGCAAACAGG